rnacentral:lncRNA from 1 species
UGGGAAAGCCUCAGCAUAUCCAUCACGGUUCUGGCUUUGUGAGAGGGUUUCCUGAAAUUCUCAGCAACCAUCAGUCUCUUCCCUGCCUUGUGUACUUUAGGGACAAGACCAGGUACUUCUGGGAGACUGGGGACUUGAGAUUUAUCUAUAAGAAAACUUUGGAGAGACAUGCAUUACCUCAUCACUGAAGCUUCAAGUAAACAUGGAUAGAUAAGGGCAUCCCUAACAGAAUGGCGGCUGCAGAAUGUCAACAUGAUGGUGUU